GAAAAUUCAGAUCUUUCUGUGCUUUCUUUUUCAGUUUUGUAUGGAUUUUCUCCUGCUGUGUGCCUCUGUGAAUGAGGAUGGCAAGACCUGUAUGUGCAGGCACUUUAUGUAAUGCAUAAUUAUAUGGGUCAUCACAUGUUACUCCAGCAGAGUUACAGAAUGAAAGUGGAAGUAGCUUCUUUCAAUACAAAAGUCUAUGAAAACUGGACUUCCUUUCUAUAUGUUAUAUGGCACAAAAGACUGUUUUAGCUGAGUGGAAUGGUGCUUUCACUGUAUUGUACUGCUAUCAUGCAGUCUGGCUUAGUUCAUUUCAUAAUGGAGAGCCAUGAAUAAAUGGGUUGAAAACAAUGACUUUGGGCAUUAUGUCCCUUAGGAUUACAGACACUGCUAUAUGUUCACCUGGUUUUGUUGUGAGCUAAUGCUCACCUGUUUGGAGCUUCUUCCUGACAGUCUUGGACAUUUUCAUGGCUAGAGAAUUAUUCUACAUCAAUUAAUCUUGGUGAUUUGGAUUGAUGCUCCUCAGGACAAAGGCAGCAGGGCAGAAUUUGUCUGGCAUUUUUUCAUCUGUGUAAGGUAAAAAAAAACUUGUAAAUGUUCUGAGUUUUGCAAUAUUACUGCCUUUUCAAGUAUAAUUUCACCCUCUCCAUGGAACCAGACAUGGAGUUUUAAGAUUAUUUUUUUCAGUUAACUGAUAAAGUGUAUUUCAAAUUAUUUAAUAGUGAGUAAAACUUUAUUGUUCUCACCUAAAGAAGGAAGGAAGUAAAAUUAUCCAAAUUUUAUAGGAGAU